rnacentral:rRNA from 1 species
UAGGGAAUAUUGGACAAUGGGCGCAAGCCUGAACCAGCCAAGUCGCGUGAAGGAAGAAGGAUCUAUGGUUCGUAAACUUCUUUUGCAGGGGAAUAAAGUGCAGGACGUGUCCUGUUUUGUAUGUACCCUGAGAAUAAGGAUCGGCUAACUCCGUGCCAGCAGCCGCGGUAAUACGGAGGAUCCGAGCGUUAUCCGGAUUUAUUGGGUUUAAAGGGUGCGUAGGUGGUUUGAUAAGUCAGCGGUGAAAGUUUGCAGCUUAACUGUAAAAAUGCCGUUGAAACUGUCGGACUUGAGUGUAAAUGAGGUAGGCGGAAUGCGUGGUGUAGCGGUGAAAUGCAUAGAUAUCACGCAGAACUCCGAUUGCGAAGGCAGCUUACUAAGCUACAACUGACACUGAAGCACGAAAGCGUGGGGAUCAAACA